rnacentral:lncRNA from 1 species
CAAGGCAUUAUUGGAUUUCAUCAUCACCAAUUCCUAUUGAGCUAUAAUUUGGCUCUUGAUUUGUAGUUUAACUAUUUGGAUCACCUAGAUUGGCUGACACUAGUCAUUAGAUGCUAGUAACCUUCUCUUCUCCACCUUGGUUUUGGUCAAGCAACCUCGAAACCCAUCAUAGAUGAUCUUCAUCAUAUUUUUGAAUCACCAGCUAAGUCAUCUAGAUCUGACUCACUUGGGCUAUCAGAUGCCAUUAUUCGACCAGCCAUAUCUUUCUUCCCUCAUAAGUUUUUCACCAUCAAUAAUA